UUUCCUUGACUUGAUUAAAGAACCCCUAGGAGAUAACCCAUACCGGCUAGCAAAGUGAGUCACUUUCUUAGAAAAUUUCUCUUGAUCUCCAAGAUCAAAUACAUUAGUCAUAAUUUUAUCCAUCUUCUCCAAAUGACACAAGUUGUAUUCAUCUGUAUCAUCCUCAAAGUGUAUUACUCUAUACUCAAUAUCAAGGUCUUGGAGAAACCUCUGGGGAUCCAUCUCAUUGGCAUUAGAUUGAUCCAGCACCUGUUCUGAGAUAGAGGAAGCCUCAUGUAACAAAGCAUAAGAAUUACCUUUAAUUUCCAUUCCCUUACCAGGCAACUGAUCUUGCAGCUGGUAAAAAAAUCAUAGUCUUAGGGUCUGAUACUAUUGCAGGGCACACACCCUCAUCAGGAAAAGCACUGUCUUCAGAUCUAUCCAGCUGGUUCUCCUUAUUAGGAUCAGGUAAUAAAUUUUUGGCACUGUCUUCUGCUAUUGCUUGGUCAUCUUGCCUUCUAUUAUAAAAUUCCUCUAGUUGCUGUGGUAAUGAUAUGAACCCAUCCUCAUUAUUGCCUGGACAACCAGUUGAGGUCUCAAUGUCUUUUUGAAGAGCUAUAAAUGCAUUGGAUGUGGAUGGAGCAGACUUAUCUUAAUAAUCCCCUGAAUACUUAUUUGGAGACCUUCGCUUAAACACCAUUCUUUGGUUAUCCUUACCCCUCAUUUUUUAGUUCUGCCACUCAUUGAUAGGUGUCUUUCCUUUCUCUGAAUUUUGCUGCUACAUUGUAUCAGGUGGCUUCUACAUCUUUUGACCUGUUUGAGAUUCAUCUACCUCUUUACCAUUUCCCUGAUACUCCUCCACCAGUUUUUGCCUGGCCACCUCAUCUUUGCCUUUGACAACACAAGUUCUAGCAUCAUGCCCUUGAUGUUUG
rnacentral:lncRNA from 1 species